GACGAACGCUGGCGGCGUGCUUAACACAUGCAAGUCGAACGAAGUGGCGAACGGGUGAGUAACGCGUAAUCGACCUGCCCUUCAGAGGGGGACAAAAGUUGGAAACGACUGCUCAUACCGCAUACUCAAGGAGGGGAUUGCGUCUGAUUAGCUAGUUGGAGGGGUAAGGGCCCACCAAGGCGAUGAUCAGUAGCCGGUCGGAGAGGAUGAACGGCCACAUUGGGACGUGGAAACGGCCCAGACUCCUACGGGAGGUAGCAGUGGGGAAUCUUCCGAAAGGGACGAAAGUCUGACGGAGCAACGCCGCGUGAGUGAUGACGGCCUUCGGGUUGUAAAGCUCUGUUAAUCGGGACGCGGUACCGGAAUAGAAAGCCACGGCUAACUACGUGCCAGCAGCCGCGGUAAUUC
rnacentral:rRNA from 1 species